AAUUAGAGGAUAGUAUGAAAGGAAAGACGUCUUACUUACUAUCUCAAAUACAACUUACUAAAUUUACCUAAAAGUAAAAAGGCUUUUAUAAACUAGAAAGACAACAAGACCCUGACGAACUUAAUUUAUUUAGCUGGGGCAGCUACAAAACAAAAUCUUAAUCUUUAACAAGACUCCUGACCCAAUCCUAUUGAUCAAAGAAAGAAGUUACCGCAGGGAUAACAGCAUAAUCGGGUUCAAGAGACCUUAUCUAAUAUCCGCCAUUUAACCUCGAUGUUGAAUUAAUGUUCCUAUAUUUAGCAAGAUAAAUACAAGGGGGUCUGUUCGACCUCUAACACAUUACAUGAUUUGAGUUCAGACCGGCGCAAGCCAGGUCAGUUUCUAUCUUCUUACAAAAAAGUGCUAGUACGAAAGGACCUCACAAAAAAUCCCA
rnacentral:rRNA from 1 species